GAUGAACGCUGGCGGCGUGCCUAAUACAUGCAAGUCGAGCGAACAGACGAGGAGCUUGCUCCUCUGACGUUAUCGGCGGACGGGUGAGUAACACGUGGAUAACCUACCUAUAAGACUGGGAUACUUCGGGAAACCGGAGCUAAUACCGGAUAAUAUAUUGAACCGCAUGGUUCAAUAGUGAAAGACGGUUUUGCUGUCACUUAUAGAUGGAUCCGCGCCGCAUUAGCUAGUUGGUAAGGUAACGGCUUACCAAGGCAACGAUGCGUAGCCGACCUGAGAGGGUGAUCGGCCAGCCUGGAACUGAGACACGGUCCAGACUCCUGCGGGAGGAAGCAGUAGGGAAUCUUCCGCAAUGGGCGAAAGCCUGACGGAGCAACGCCGCGUGAGUGAUGAAGGUCUUCGGCUCGUAAAACUCUGUUAUUAGGGAAGAAGAAAUGUGUAAGUAACUAUGCACGUCUUGACGGUACCUAAUCAGAAAGCCACGGCUAACUACGUG
rnacentral:rRNA from 1 species